rnacentral:rRNA from 1 species
AACCAGACUCCUACGGGAGGCAGCAGUGGGGAAUAUUGCACAAUGGGGGAAACCCUGAUGCAGCGACGCCGCGUGAAGGAUGAAGUAUUUCGGUAUGUAAACUUCUAUCAGCAGGGAAGAAAAUGACGGUACCUGACUAAGAAGCCCCGGCUAACUACGUGCCAGCAGCCGCGGUAAUACGUAGGGGGCAAGCGUUAUCCGGAUUUACUGGGUGUAAAGGGAGCGUAGACGGCAUGGCAAGUCUGAUGUGAAAACCCGGGGCUCAACCCCGGGACUGCAUUGGAAACUGUCAGGCUAGAGGGUCGGAGAGGCAAGUGGAAUUCCUAGUGUAGCGGUGAAAUGCGUAGAUAUUAGGAGGAACACCAGUGGCGAAGGCGGCCUGCUGGACGAUGACUGACGUUGAGGCUCGAAAGCGUGGGGAGCAAACAGGAUUAGAUACCCCAGUA